AAGAGACAAGAAAAGAAGAAGAAGAAGAAGACCAAGAUUCAAAAUCUCUCAACAAUUUUUCAAUGAUUUCUCCUUCUCUUUCUUUUCCUCCUUCUUUUUC
rnacentral:ribozyme from 13 species